CCGAAUCCCUACUCUCCUAACCCCUUCUCCAACAAUCGACGCUCUCAAACCCUCAUCUCCCAAAACCCUUCUCUCCUCUCUACAAAAACCGACCGACCCUCUCUCUCUCUCUCUCUCUUUGUUUAUUGAGGUUUGGUGGUGUUUUCGUAGGGUGUAUAGCAAUGCAGAGGGAAAAUAACAGGAGAGGAAGUACAAGAGGUGAGGAUUUUUCUUCUCUUCUUCCAUAUGCAGCCAUGGCGAGUGCUUUUACGAACAAGCUAUUGAAGUCGAAAGAACAAGCAGAAGAAUACCCCUUUUUUAUCAUGGAAGAACUCAACCCUAAAAAUUUCGGCUACAUCACGGUACACCGUGCUUCCAAUCAUAGCCCAAAUCAUCAAGGACAUGCCUCAACAAUUGAAAGUGAGGCUUCUAGAGGAAGUGGGAGAGCAUGAUAGAGAACGGAUAUUGUCUGUAAGCACGAUAUUUUCAUGCCUUGGAUUGUGUCAUGAGUUUCUUAGGGUGCAACAACAUAAAGGAUGACAACUAUUGAGGAAAUGGUGGGCAUGUAUGUGUUGUGUGGUAAGAAGACAAGAACAUUAAGCAUGUUCAGCUGAAAGGAACAUUAAGCAGUUUCUGAAGAACUGCAAUAUGCUUUACAGGAUUAAGCGGGCCCCAAAGUCCUUUUUAUUCAAUUAUAUAGAAUUCAAAAUGGAUUUUACAGUCUGCUUGCAGUUGUUGGUGUGUUGUUCACAGGCAUGCAAUAGUUUUUUUUAACUCUUCGUCUUAUUUCUGUAAAAUAGGAGAGAGAGUUGGUCUCAUUUUUGUAAGAUAAUAUUUCUCUGAGCUGAUCAACUGUUGCUAAAAUUACCUUUCAGUUUCCUAUAUUUGCGAAAGGGUACGAAAAAGAUCCGGCAAUUGUAGCAAAUGAAGCUAUCCAGAAGGCUACUCGCAAUAAAUUGGAUGUUGUUUUUGUAGAUAUAGCUAGGUGGAUGUAGGUAACUGUUAUGCAGGAUAUCUUUGGGGUUAAUUUGUUUUCCUUCUCUUUUUCUCUUUUGGUAGUUGGAGUACCUUCCACGAGUCUUGUAUGUCUUCACUGGUGUGCAUUUGUGUACUCAGUUGCAUAAUUAAAUGUUACAUUUCACGAUAAUGAA